rnacentral:rRNA from 1 species
UACGUAGGGACCGAGCGUUGUCCGGAAUCAUUGGGCGUAAAGAGCGUGUAGGCGGCCUGUUAAGUCUUGCGUGAAAUCUCGGGGCUCAACCCCGAGCGGUCGUGAGAAACUGGCAGGCUAGAGUGCGGGAGAGGAGAGUGGAAUUCCUGGUGUAGCGGUGAAAUGCGCAGAUAUCAGGAAGAACACCCGUGGCUAAGGCGGCUCUCUAGUACGUGACUGACGCUGAGACGCGAAAGCGUGGGGAGCGAACAGG